rnacentral:tRNA from 1 species
ACUUAAAUAGCUUAUAUAAUUAGAGCAUAAUAUUGAAGAUAUUAAGGAAAUAUAAUUAUUUUUAAGUA